GACAGCAGGACGGUGGUCAUGGAAGUCGAAAUCCGCUAAGGAGUGUGUAACAACUCACCUGCCGAAUCAACUAGCCCCGAAAAUGGAUGGCGCUAAAGCGCGCGACCUAUACCCGGCCGUCGGGGCAAGAGCCAGGCCCCGAUGAGUAGGAGGGCGCGGCGGUCGGUGCAAAACC
rnacentral:ncRNA from 1 species